rnacentral:rRNA from 1 species
UACAGAGGGGGCGAGCGUUGUUCGGAAUUACUGGGCGUAAAGGGCGCGUAGGCGGCCUCUUAAGUCGAACGUGAAAUCCCCCGGCUUAACCAGGGAACUGCGUCUGAUACUGGAUGGCUUGAGUUUGGGAGAGGGACGCGGAAUUCCAGGUGUAGCGGUGAAAUGCGUAGAUAUCAGGAGGAACACCAAUGGCGAAGGCAGCUCGCUGGGACGGUACUGACGCUGAGGCGCGAAAGCGUGGGGAGCAAACAGG